CGAGCGUUGAAAAGCUCGGGGAUGACUUGUGGAUAGCGGUGAAAUUCCAAUCGAACCCGGAGAUAGCUGGUUCUCCCCGAAAUAGCUUUAGGGCUAGCCUCAGAUUCAGAGAUACGGAGGUAGAGCACUGAAUGUCCUAGGGGGUAUUGCACCUACCGAAGACUAUCAAACUCCGAAUGCCAUCAUCUUUUAUCUGGGAGUCAGACCGUGGGUGAUAAGAUUCACGGUCGAGAGGGCAACAGCCCAGACCGUCGGCUAAGGUCCCCAAAUGUAGGUUAAGUGGUAAAGGAUGUGGGAUUGCACAGACAACCAGGAUGUUGGCUUAGAAGCAGCCACUCAUUCAAAGAGUGCGUAAUAGCUCACUGGUCGAGUGAUCCUGCGCCGAAGAUUUCCGGGGCUAAAACCUAC
rnacentral:rRNA from 1 species